UGCACGGGUUAUGUGGACGCCGCCAUUGUCUCGACUUCCCUCCCGUGCAGAGGCUGGCUGGCCUGGUCUCUGCCCUAAGCCGGCCUCUCGCUGGGUGGCUGGCAUCGGGGAAGAGGGGAGUCUUUGUUAUGUCUUGGUGUGCGGAAAGGAGAGACAGAGAGGGAGGGAGGAAGAGGAAAAGGUGGAAGAGAUGAAUAUGGCACAAGAAGAGAGGAAAAGGAGAUCGGAAACUUCAAGAAGGCAAAAGCAUCAUUUUUCUAAAGAACUCAACCAAGACGAAGCCGAUGAAUUCUGUCAUUGUAGAGAAAUCGCGAAAAGAGUAACGUAAGGGAAGGGACAUUUUACAUACAAACCGCAAAUCACUAAUACAAGGAACUGUAAAGAUAUAUCGAAAUAUCAAGCAUGGCUAUUGAAUCGGGUAACAUUCUAACUUCUAAAGAAUCUAUUUUUUUCUGAAGAUAACGAAAAAGAGGGGUAAGAAGAUGAAAAAAAAACUCCGUAUGAACCUAUUGUGAAAGGGGCUUUUAUUACACUGAGAACCGUUCGUGAAUAAUAGAGAAUAAAUAAUUAUCAAGUCCAGUAGACUUGAUAAUAAUUUUUACAUUUCUAGUAUUGGAUUUUCUUAUCAUUUCACCAUUCAGAAGAUAAGUUAUGGUUGCUGGUGAUGAAGAUAACGGAGGUUUUGAGAACAUCGUUUAUGACGCUGGCACCUUCACUGAAAUUAUCGAAAUGUUUAUUAUACGUAACGUUAAUGUUGUACAUAAAAUCUAAAGCAUUUAGAUAAUGAUACUAUCUGUUGAUAUUUGAGCUUAAACUAACCGAUUAUGAUGUAUGAUGACAAUAUCAAAAUGACUGCAAAGAUGAAUAGCUUUAGUUAACGAGACUGGAAUUAUUUAACUCAUUAUGUAACUAUUAAUUCGAUUUCUUGAUCUCUUUCUCUGUCUUUCUAUAUAGACAUACAAACACACACACGCGCGCGCACAUAAACACACACACAUGCGCACAUAAAGACAGACACACAUAGACAC